rnacentral:lncRNA from 1 species
CACCGGUCAAAUUCCGAAAGGCCUCCAUGAUUAGGUCUUGAAUUCGUUUUUUUGCAAUUGAACAACGAUGACAAGGUUUCAUGAGCAAGCAUCGACUUCUAAGACGUUGACCCAUUACACGUACCGUUACCCAGCCCUGCUACACCUUCGAUUUAAACCACCACCUCUACUUUGGGCCUUCUGGUCGUAUGACUUUGUCGCAUGUAGCUCUGCCGUUGCUCUUGCUCUGUUGCCGCUAUCCGUCCCUACCCUCGAACCAGAUUCGUUGUCACCAUCUUAACGGUUUAUCAUGGUUGUCGUGACUCGUUUCCCGGUUCGCUCUAUUCCUUCUGAUUACUUAAGCGUUAGGAAGUUGCUGGCCAAGAUUCUUUAUUUCAGUAAUGUAAUAUGGGAUGAUCUGGGAUUUCAGUGGUGA